rnacentral:rRNA from 1 species
UACGUAGGGCGCAAGCGUUGUCCGGAAUUAUUGGGCGUAAAGGGUGCGUAGGCGGUUUGGUAAGUCUCUUGUGAAAUCUAUGGGCUCAACUCAUAGUCUGCAAGGGAAACUGCCGGGCUUGAGUGUGGGAGAGGUGAGUGGAAUUUCCGGUGUAGCGGUGAAAUGCGUAGAUAUCGGAAGGAACACCUGUGGCGAAAGCGGCUCACUGGACCACAACUGACGCUGAUGCACGAAAGCUAGGGGAGCAAACAGG